rnacentral:rRNA from 1 species
GGGUGAGUAAUACCUAGGAAUCUGCCUGAUAGUGGGGGAUAACGUUCGGAAACGGACGCUAAUACCGCAUACGUCCUACGGGAGAAAGCAGGGGACCUUCGGGCCUUGCGCUAUCAGAUGAGCCUAGGUCGGAUUAGCUAGUUGGUGAGGUAAUGGCUCACCAAGGCUACGAUCCGUAACUGGUCUGAGAGGAUGAUCAGUCACACUGGAACUGAGACACGGUCCAGACUCCUACGGGAGGCAGCAGUGGGGAAUAUUGGACAAUGGGCGAAAGCCUGAUCCAGCCAUGCCGCGUGUGUGAAGAAGGUCUUCGGAUUGUAAAGCACUUUAAGUUGGGAGGAAGGGCAUUAACCUAAUACGUUAGUGUCUUGACGUUACCGACAGAAUAAGCACCGGCUAACUCUGUGCCAGCAGCCGCGGUAAUACAGAGGGUGCAAGCGUUAAUCGGAAUUACUGGGCGUAAAGCGCGCGUAGGUGGUUUGUUAAGUUGAAUGUGAAAUCCCCGGGCUCAACCUGGGAACUGCAUCCAAAACUGGCAAGCUAGAGUAUGGUAGAGGGUAGUGGAAUUUCCUGUGUAGCGGUGAAAUGCGUAGAUAUAGGAAGGAACACCAGUGGCGAAGGCGACUACCUGGACUGAUACUGACACUGAGGUGCG